AAGUCCCGCCCCAUCUCAGGACUGAAGUCCCGCCCCAUCUCAGGACGGCAAGAUUUCAACUCCAUCAAGGUAAGAUCCCGUCUGCAAACCUUCUGUUGUCUGGAAGCUGCCAGCAUUCAACCUGGUAUCUUCUCCAGCUCGCCUUUGGGACUGCUGGACAUUCCCAUGCCACAUUUUUUUUUUCUCCUGGGUGUUUUUGACCCCCUGUUGCUGUCCUACUCUUUGAGCUUGUGCCUUUGUCUCCUCAGCAAGGCCUCGUCAGGUAGCUGUAUGCCAUGGCCCGGACUUUAGGAAUUAACUCUUACAAAACUCUCACCCGCUAGCAAUAUGCACUCAAGUGUCUGCUGGAGCGGCAGGACCUGGGACUCUCCUGAAAGACCCUGGUAGACUAAGGCUGUGGGGAGAGGGAUCUUCCUUAAGCAGAUUUGAAGGAGGUGACCCUGUGGGGAGGGAUGACCAGGACACUGUUAUCUCUGCCUUACCCCAGCCCCCGACUUUUCUGUGUAUUUGAAAAUUUCCCUAAGUUUGCAUGAAUAAAGAAGCGACUGUGCAGCUAGCCGUGAGAUGGUCUGUGAAUAGCAAAGU